ACCCGCUGAACUUAAGCAUAUCAAUAAGCGGAGGAAAAGAAACCAACAGGGAUUGCCUCAGUAACGGCGAGUGAAGCGGCAACAGCUCAAAUUUGAAAGCUGGUACUUUUAGUGCCCGCGUUGUAAUUUGUAGAGGAUGUUUCGGGUGCGGCGCCGGUCUAAGUUCUUUGGAACAAGACGUCAUAGAGGGUGAGAAUCCCGUAUGUGACUGGUUGCCUGUGCCUAUGUGAAACUCCUUCGACGAGUCGAGUAGUUUGGGAAUGCUGCUCAAAAUGGGAGGUGUAUUUCUUCUAAAGCUAAAUAUUGGCCAGAGACCGAUAGCGCACAAGUAGAGUGAUCGAAAGAUGAAAAGCACUUUGGAAAGAGAGUUAAACAGUACGUGAAAUUGUUGAAAGGGAAGCGCUUGCAAUCAGACUUGCGCGGCGUCGAUCAGCCUGGGUUCUCCCUGGUGUACUCGGCGCCGCUCAGGCCAGCAUCAGUUUCGGCGGUGGGAUAAAGGCUUAGGGAACGUGGGUUGCUUCGGUGACCGUUAUAGCCCUAGGUGCAAUGCCGCCUGUCGGGACUGAGGACCGCGCUUCGGCUAGGAUGCUGGCGUAAUGGUUGUAAGCGACCCGUCUUGAAACACGG
rnacentral:rRNA from 1 species